rnacentral:rRNA from 1 species
AUGCAAGUCGAGCGAACAGAUGAGGAGCUUGCUCCUCUGACGUUAGCGGCGGACGGGUGAGUAACACGUGGAUAACCUACCUAUAAGACUGGGAUAACUUCGGGAAACCGGAGCUAAUACCGGAUAAUAUAUUGAACCGCAUGGUUCAAUAGUGAAAGACGGUUUUGCUGUCACUUAUAGAUGGAUCCGCGCCGCAUUAGCUAGUUGGUAAGGUAACGGCUUACCAAGGCAACGAUGCGUAGCCGACCUGAGAGGGUGAUCGGCCACACUGGAACUGAGACACGGUCCAGACUCCUACGGGAGGCAGCAGUAGGGAAUCUUCCGCAAUGGGCGAAAGCCUGACGGAGCAACGCCGCGUGAGUGAUGAAGGUCUUCGGAUCGUAAAACUCUGUUAUUAGGGAAGAACAAAUGUGUAAGUAACUAUGCACGUCUUGACGGUACCUAAUCAGAAAGCCACGGCUAACUACGUGCCAGCAGCCGCGGUAAUACGUAGGUGGCAAGCGUUAUCCGGAAUUAUUGGGCGUAAAGCGCGCGUAGGCGGUUUUUUAAGUCUGAUGUGAAAGCCCACGGCUCAACCGUGGAGGGUCAUUGGAAACUGGAAAACUUGAGUGCAGAAGAGGAAAGUGGAGUUCCAUGUGUAGCGGUGAAAUGCGCAGAGAUAUGGAGGAACACCAGUGGCGAAGGCGACUUUCU